rnacentral:misc_RNA from 1 species
AAGUCGUAACAAGGUUUCCGUAGGUGAACCUGCGGAAGGAUCAUUACCGAGUUAGGGUACUCUUCGUGCCCGACCUCCAACCCUUUGCCUACCUGACCAGAUGUUGCUUCGGCAGGCCCGCCGCCCCGCGAGGGGCAGCCGCCGGGGGUCCUUACCGGCCCCGGGUCCGUGCCUGUCGAUGGCCCUUCUAAAACUCUUGCUUAAACGUGUCGUCUGAGUAAAACAAACAAAAUAAAAACAAAACUUUCAACAACGGAUCUCUUGGUUCUG